rnacentral:snRNA from 1 species
UUCACUUCUCAGCCUUUUGGCUAAGAUCAAGUGCAGUAUCUGUUCUCAUCAGUUUAAUAUCUGAUACGUCCUCUAUCUAAGGACAUUAUAUUAAAUGAAUUUUUGGAGCAGAGAGAUGGAAUAGGAGCUUGCUCUGUCCACUCCAUGCAUCAACCUGGUAUUGUAUACCUCUAGGAACAGUGGACCCCUC